GGUAUAGCUACAGAGACAUAAAUUCACAGACAUACAUAUUAUAAAGAUAUAUAAUAGCUAUUUUUAUAAAUACAUGGAUAUAUAUACCCAAAUAUAUAGAAGAUAAUAUAUAGCAGUAGCAUACAUGGCAGAAUUUUUCAUCUGUACUUGGAUGAAAAUUAAUGUUUUAUUAACUAAACAGUGCUCCUGUGCAAUUCUUUUGCUUUUAUCUGACAUAUGCCUUUCCCUUCUAAAGUUGAAUCAAGGAUUCCACCCACCCCACACACACCCCAAUUGAGUGAGAGUCUUAAAGCAUUUGGAAUGGUUACGCAAAUAAUAAAUUCUCUUAGGAUAACACACAUUCAUGCUGUCUUCUGAGCCUUUGAGUUCCUAAAUGAUUUUGUAAAUGUGUAUAAUUUAAAGCUCAUAGUGUGAUAUUUGCUGGAUUUAGCAGAUAGUGUAAUGUCAUUUGUCUCCUAGAGUAUCUACUGUAAAUGUAACUUUUAUUCACCUGAUGUAAUUGUCAUAUCUCAGGUUUACUGCCCCAGUCUGCUAACCUAAGCCUAGUCCUUGAAGUUUCUAGCCUCCAUAGAAGUCUAGAAGGUUUUUAGCCUUUGAGACUGACUGAUAAAUAAGGUCACCCUUUCUUGUUCUUUCUGAGCUUGGCUGGCUGGUUUAAAACUCCUGUCCAAGCUGACUGGUUCAAUCUGGCUUUUCUCAGGUGCUUACUGAAUUGUUCUGCUUAUUCUCAUACUAACUCUGGUAAUCUGUUCUAAUAUUCUAUCUCCUCCUUGUUCUUUGGCUCAUUCUGUCUUCAUGUGUAUCUAUCUUGCAUGAUCAAAUAUCCUGCAACAAUCUACAGAGUAGUUUGGCUAUUCUAUCAAGUCCCCAUUCUAUCCUUUCUUCUUCCUGAAUGGUGGUGACCAUCCAUCGUCUUAUAGUCCUCAUAGUUUUACCUUCUCCAGAAUGUCACAUAAGUAGAGUCAUAUGGCAUGUACCUUUUUUUUUUUUAACAAGAGCACAAAUCUACUUUUAUUUAUUUACUCUCCAUUAGUUUAACUCCGGGAUGGAUACAGCAUCACACGGAUUCUGUGUCCAAUGGCUUUUGCAGGAAGGUUGCUUCAGAAUUUGGCACAAACCACUGUUUCCAUCGGCCCAAGUUACUUUUCCCCAGAUCACUCUGGUUUUGUUUGGUUUGCCUCCAGGAGUCGCUGUAUCAUUUUUUUGCUUUAUACACACAAACACAUCUCUUGCCUAAGUAGAAUUCCGUUUCAUCUCGGGCAUAAACGCCUUCAAUUUCAAGAAGAGCCGUGUGCUCUCUUUGGUUUUGGAGACCUCACUUGUACCAGCAAAAAUGGCCUUGCACUACAGCCUUCCAGGCAUACUUGCUUUUAGAAGUCCUGUUCCCAGCAGGCUUCCACAGGCACCAAGAUGGUGGAAAGGGCAUGUACCUUUUAAGACUGCCAAUAGACCACUAAUGUUUCUUGUGUACUUUGUGGGAUGAUAGCUCAUUUCUAUUCAUUACUGCAUAGUGAUAUGUAUAUUUUCUACAAUUUGUUUAUUUACUCUCUUUUGCAAGAGAUCUUAGUUGCUUCCAAUGUUCUGUGAUUAAUGAAUAAAACUGCU
rnacentral:lncRNA from 1 species